rnacentral:rRNA from 1 species
AUUAACGGAGAGUUUGAUCCUGGCUCAGGAUGAACGCUGGCGGCGUGCUUAACACAUGCAAGUCGAACGAUGAACCUCGCUUGCGGGGGGAUUAGUGGCGAACGGGUGAGUAACACGUGAGUAACCUGCCCUUAACUCUGGGAUAAGCCUUGGA